rnacentral:lncRNA from 1 species
AAAUCAAAAUUUUGAAUCCUAAGCCUUUGAAAAAUCAGUUGUAGUAAUGUUCCCUUGUGUUUCAGGUUCAGUGAUAUACACUUUGUAUCAAGGAAAAAAGCAGAUAUAAAAUGAGCUGGGUUGUGGAAGAAUGGAAAGAAGGCCUUUCCACAAGGGCCUUCAGAAGAUUCAAGAGUUUCAAAGUCAACUAGGCAAGCUUAAAAAAGAAUGACAGCAAAGACAGUUUCAGCUUGAAUUGCUGGAGGUAGCUUUGCAAAAGCAGAAGCAGAAGGUUGAAAAUGAAAAAAAUGAAGGAGCAACACUAAAAAGAGAAAACCAGAGCUUGGUGGAAUUGUGUGAUAAUCUUGAGAAAACGAAGCAGAAAAUUUUACAUGAUCUUCAAGUAAAAGAAUCAUAAGUUAAUUAUCAAGCAGGACAACUAACUUCAAGCAAGAAACAAAUUGAAAGACUAGAACGGAAACUUAAAAGGUACAAAUCUGAACUUGAGAGAAGUCAGCAAACAUUGAUUACAGAAGACUUAUCACUCAGUAGUACACCACAGAAGAACUUUACUGCUCUUUUAACACCGAAUCAAAAUCACAAUGGUCACUCCCCCACUCCCCCUCUAGUAUGCAAUUGAAUAAAAUGUGAAUUCCUUUGAAAGUACG